GGUUGUGGCUUAGUGGUAGAGCGCUCGCCUCACAGGCGUGAGACCCUGGGUUCAAUCCUCAGCACCA
rnacentral:tRNA from 1 species